GAUGAACGCUGGCGGCGUGCUUAACACAUGCAAGUCGAACGGUGAAGGCGGAGCUUGCUCUGCUGGAUCAGUGGCGAACGGGUGAGUAACACGUGAGCAAUCUGCCCCUGACUCUGGGAUAAGCGCUGGAAACGGCGUCUAAUACUGGAUACGAGCUGCGAAGGCAUCUUCAGCAGCUGGAAAGAAUUUCGGUCAGGGAUGAGCUCGCGGCCUAUCAGCUUGUUGGUGAGGUAAUGGCUCACCAAGGCGUCGACGGGUAGCCGGCCUGAGAGGGUGACCGGCCACACUGGGACUGAGACACGGCCCAGACUCCUACGGGAGGCAGCAGUGGGGAAUAUUGCACAAUGGGCGAAAGCCUGAUGCAGCAACGCCGCGUGAGGGACGACGGCCUUCGGGUUGUAAACCUCUUUUAGCAGGGAAGAAGCGAAAAUGACGGUACCUGCAGAAAAAGCGCCGGCUAACUACGUG
rnacentral:rRNA from 1 species